rnacentral:tRNA from 1 species
GGGGAUGUAGCGCGUUACGGAGACGCACCGGCUUGUAACUCCGGAGCCGCUCGACGGCCCACUGAGUUCAACUCUCAGCAUCCCCA